rnacentral:rRNA from 1 species
CCUACGGGAGGCAGCAGUGGGGGAUAUUGCACAAUGGAGGAAACUCUGAUGCAGCGACGCCGCGUGAGGGAAGACGGUCUUCGGAUUGUAAACCUCUGUCUUUGGGGAAGAAAAUGACGGUACCCAAAGAGGAAGCUCCGGCUAACUACGUGCCAGCAGCCGCGGUAAUACGUAGGGAGCGAGCGUUGUCCGGAAUUACUGGGUUUAAAGGGUGCGUAGGCGGACUGUUAAGUCAGCGGUAAAAGCCCGGGGCUCAACCCCGGCGAGCCGUUGAAACUGGCUGUCUUGAGAUGUCGAGAGGUAUGCGGAAUGCGCAGUGUAGCGGUGAAAUGCUUAGAUAUUGCGCAGAACUCCGAUUGCGAAGGCAGCAUACCGGCGGCGAUCUGACGCUGAGGCACGAAAGCGUGGGUAUCGAACAGGAUUAGAUACCCCAGUAGUC